rnacentral:rRNA from 1 species
AGAACACCGAUUGCGAAGGCAGCUUACUAGACUAUAACUGACACUGAUGGACGAAAGCGUGGGGAGCGAACAGGAUUAGAUACCCUGGUAGUCCACGCCGUAAACGAUGAUUACUGGACAUUUGCGAUAUACUGUAAGUGUCUGAGCGAAAGCAUUAAGUAAUCCACCUGGGGAGUACGGUCGCAAGAUUGAAACUCAAAGGAAUUGACGGGG